CUGAGUACUACACUCUCUACCCUUUGUGAACUAUUAUACCUGUUGCUUCGGCGGCGCCCGCAACGGUGCCCGCCGGUCUCAUCAGAAUCUCUGUUUUCGAACCCGACGAUACUUCUGAGUGUUCUUAGCGAACUGUCA
rnacentral:misc_RNA from 1 species